rnacentral:rRNA from 1 species
UUUCUCCUACGGGGGGCAGCAGUGGGGAAUAUUGCACAAUGGGGGAAACCCUGAUGCAGCAACGCCGCGUGAGUGAAGAAGUCAUUCGUGAUGUAAAGCUCUAUCAGCAGGGAAGAAAAUGACGGUACCUGAGUAAGAAGCCCCGGCUAACUACGUGCCAGCAGCCGCGGUAAUACGUAGGGGGCGAGCGUUAUCCGGAUUCACUGGGUGUAAAGGGAGCGUAGGCGGCCAUGCAAGCCAGGGGUGAAAGCCCGGGGCCCAACCCCGGGACUGCCCUUGGAACUGCAUGGCUGGAGUGCGGGAGG